AGAGUUUGAUCCUGGCUCAGGAUGAACGCUAGCNACANGCCUAACACAUGCAAGUCGAGGGGCAGCGGGAUUGAAGCUUGCUUUAAUUGCCGGCGACCGGCGCACGGGUGCGUAACAGGUGUGCAAUCUGUCCAUAGUCGGGGAAUAGCCCAGCGAAAGUUGGAUUAAUGCUCCAUGUGAGCGAGUGCCGCAUGACACUUGCUUGAAACGUAAGGACUAUGGGUGAGCACGCUUCUGAUUAGAUAGUUGGUGAGGUAACGGCCCACCUAGCCGACGAUCAGUAGGGGUUCUGAGAGGAAGGUCCCCCACAUUGGAACUGAGACACGGUCCAAACUCCUACGGGAGGCAGCAGUGAGGAAUAUUGGUCAAUGGACGGAAGUCUGAACCAGCCAAGUAGCGUGCAGGAUGACGGCCCUAUGGGUUGUAAACUGCUUUUUUAGGGGAAUAAAGUUAGCCACGUGUGGUUAUUUGCAUGUACCCUACGAAUAAGGACCGGCUAAUUCCGUGCCAGCAGCCGCGGUAAUACGGAAGGUCCGGGCGUUAUCCGGAUUUAUUGGGUUUAAAGGGAGCGCAGGCCGUUUGGUAAGCGUGUUGUGAAAUGUCCGGGCUCAACCUGGGCACUGCAGCGCGAACUGUCAGACUUGAGUGCACAGGAAGCGGGCGGAAUUCGUGGUGUAGCGGUGAAAUGCUUAGAUAUCACGAAGAACUCCAAUUGCGAAGGCAGCUCGCUGUAGUGUUACUGACGCUAAAGCUCGAAAGUGCGGGUAUCGAACAGGAUUAGAUACCCUGGUAGUCCGCGCGGUAAACGAUGGAUGCUCGUUGUGCGGCCAUUCUGGUUGCGCGACCAAGCGAAAGCGUUAAGCAUCCCACCUGGGGAGUACGCCGGCAACGGUNAAACUCAAAGGAAUUGACGGGGGCCCGCACAAGCGGAGGAACAUGUGGUUUAAUUCGAUGAUACGCGAGGAACCUUACCCGGGCUUGAACUGCAGAGGAAAGAUCCAGAGAUGGUGAUNNUCGGGGCCUCUGCGGAGUGCUGCAUGGUUGUCGUCAGCUCGUGCC
rnacentral:rRNA from 1 species